GAUGAAGAACGUAGCGAAAUGCGAUACGUAAUGUGAAUUGCAGAAUUCAGUGAAUCAUCGAAUCUUUGAACGCAUAUUGCGCUCUCUGGUAUUCCGGAGAGCAUGCUUGUUUGAGUAUCAGUAAACACCUCAACUUCCAUAUCUUUUUUGAAAUGGGAGUUGGACUUGAGUGAUCCCAACGCUUUUCCUCACCGAAAAGUGGCGGGUUACUUGAAAUGCAGGUGCAGCUGGACUUUUCUCUGAGCUAUGAGCAUAUCUAUUUAGUCUGCCUAAAAAACAGAUUAUUACCUUUGCUGCAGCUAACAUAAAGGAGAUUAGUUCUUGUGCUGACUGAUGCAGGAUUCACAAAGACAGCUUCGGCCGACUUUGUAAACUCGAUCUCAAAUCAAGUAAGACUACCCGCUGAACUUAAGCAUAUCAAUAAGCGGAGGA
rnacentral:misc_RNA from 1 species